rnacentral:rRNA from 1 species
UAAGGAAUAUUGCUCAAUGGGAGAAAUCCUGAAGCAGCAACGCCGCGUGGAGGAUGAAGGGUCUAUGACUUGUAAACUCCUGUAAAGAAGGAAAAAAUUCCCAUUUGAUGGGAGAUGAUGGUACUUCUGGAGUAAGCCCCGGCUAACUACGUGCCAGCAGCCGCGGUAAUACGUAGGGGGCAAGCGUUGUCCGGAUUUACUGGGUGUAAAGGGUGCUCAGGCGGAUUUGUAAGUCAGAGGUGAAAUCUUACAGCUUAACUGUGAAACUGCCUUGAUACUGCAAGCCUAGAGUAUGGAAGAGAGUGAUGGAAUAUCUGGUGUAGCAGUGAAAUGCGUAGAUAUCAGAUAGAACACCAAUGGCGAAGGCAGUCACUUGGUCCAUUACUGACGCUAAAGCACGAAAGCGUGGGUAGCAAACA